GAUGAACGCUGGCGGCGUGCCUAAUACAUGCAAGUCGAGCGAACAGACGAGGAGCUUGCUCCUCUGACGUUAGCGGCGGACGUGUGAGUAACACGUGGAUAACCUACCUAUAAGACUGGGAUAACUUCGGGAAACCGGAGCUAAUACCGUAUAAUAUAUUUAACCGCAUGGUUCAAUAGUGAAUGACGGUUUUUCUGUCACUUAUAGAUGGUUCCGCGCCGCAUUAGCUAGUUGGUAAGGUAACGGCUUACCAAGGCAACGAUUCGUAGCCGACCUGAGCGGGUGAACGGCCACACUGGAACUGAGACACGGAACAGACUCCUACGGGAGGGAGCAGUAGGGAAUAUUCCGCAAUGGGCGAAAGAAUGACGGAGCAACGCCGCGUGAGAGAUGAAGGUCUUCGGAUCGUAAAACUCUGUUAUUAGGGAAGAACAAAUGUGUAAGUAAAUAUGCACGUAAUGACGGUACCUAAUCAGAAAGCAACGGCUAACUACGUG
rnacentral:rRNA from 1 species